AACGAACGCUGGCGGCAGGCUUAACACAUGCAAGUCGAACGCUCGUAGCAAUACGGGAGUGGCAGACGGGUGAGUAACACGUGGGAACGUACCUUCAGGUCUGGAAUAACCCUGGGAAACUAGGGCUAAUACCGGAUAUCCGAGAGAUCGGAAAGGCUUGCUGCCUGAAGAUCGGCCCGCGUCCGAUUAGCUUGUUGGUGGGGUAAUGGCCUACCAAGGCUUCGAUCGGUAGCUGGUCUGAGAGGAUGACCAGCCACAUUGGGACUGAGACACGGCCCAAACUCCUACGGGAGGCAGCAGUGGGGAAUAUUGGACAAUGGGCGCAAGCCUGAUCCAGCCAUGCCGCGUGAGUGAUGACGGCCUUAGGGUUGUAAAGCUCUUUUACCUGGGAAGAUCAUGACGGUACCAGGAGAAUAAGCCCCGGCUAACUUCGUGCCAGCAGCCGCCGUAACAC
rnacentral:rRNA from 1 species